rnacentral:rRNA from 1 species
AGUGAACGCUGGCGGUAGGCCUAACACAUGCAAGUCGAACGGCAGCACAGUAAGAGCUUGCUCUUACGGGUGGCGAGUGGCGGACGGGUGAGGAAUACAUCGGAAUCUACUUUUUCGUGGGGGAUAACGUAGGGAAACUUACGCUAAUACCGCAUACGACCUACGGGUGAAAGCAGGGGAUCUUCGGACCUUUCGCGAUUGAAUGAGCCGAUGUCGGAUUAGCUAGUUGGCGGGGUAAAGGCCCACCAAGGCGACGAUCCGUAGCUGGUCUGAGAGGAUGAUCAGCCACACUGGAACUGAGACACGGUCCAGACUCCUACGGGAGGCAGCAGUGGGGAAUAUUGGGCAAUGGGCGCAAGCCUGACCCAGCAAUGCCGCGUGAGUGAAGAAGGUCUUCGGGUUGUAAAGCUCUGUUAUUAGGAAAGAACAGCAGUGUGUUUAUCCGUGGACGUCUUGACGGUACCCAAAGAAAAAGCACCGGCUAACUACGUG